GAAUGGCGUAAUGAUGGCCAGGCUGUCUCCACCCGAGACUCAGUGAAAUUGAACUCGCUGUGAAGAUGCAGUGUACCCGCGGCAAGACGGAAAGACCCCGUGAACCUUUACUAUAGCUUGACACUGAACAUUGAGCCUUGAUGUGUAGGAUAGGUGGGAGGCUUUGAAGCGUGGACGCCAGUCUGCGUGGAGCCAACCUUGAAAUACCACCCUUUAAUGUUUGAUGUUCUAACGUUGGCCCCUGACCGGGGUUGCGGACAGUGUCUGGUGGGUAGUUUGACUGGGGCGGUCUCCUCCCAAAGCGUAACGGAGGAGCACGAAGGUUAGCUAAUCCUGGUCGGACAUCAGGAGGUUAGUGCAAUGGCAUAAGCUAGCUUGACUGCGAGCGUGACGGCGCGAGCAGGUGCGAAAGCAGGUCAUAGUGAUCCGGUGGUUCUGAAUGGAAGGGCCAUCGCUCAACGGAUAAAAGGUACUCCGGGGAUAACAGGCUGAUACCGCCCAAGAGUUCAUAUCGACGGCGGUGUUUGGCACCUCGAUGUCGGCUCAUCACAUCCUGGGGCUGAAGUAGGUCCCAAGGGUAUGGCUGUUCGCCAUUUAAAGUGGUACGCGAGCUGGGUUUAGAACGUCGUGAGACAGUUCGGUCCCUAUCUGCCGUGGGCGCUGGAGAAUUGAGGGGGGCUGCUCCUAGUACGAGAGGACCGGAGUGGACGCAUCACUGGUGUUCGGGUUGUCAUGCCAAUGGCACUGCCCGGUAGCUAAAUGCGGAAGAGAUAAGUGCUGAAAGCAUCUAAGCACGAAACUUGCCCCGAGAUGAGUUCUCCCUGAGACUU
rnacentral:rRNA from 1 species